rnacentral:sRNA from 1 species
GCUGCUGCUGCUGCUGCUACUGCUGUUGCUGCUGCUGCUGCUGCUGCUGCUGCUGCUGCUGCUGCUGCUGCUGCUACUGCUGUUGCUGCUGCUGCUGCUGC